UUUGACGUUUUCUUUCAUUUUCUUUUGUUUUCUUUCUAUUUUUUUAUUACAAGAUACUCAGAUAUUCCACGUGUACCGUUUGAAGUGGUAAAUUGCUCACUCGGUAGCUUUAAGCUUACAGUUUAUUGUUUUUUAAUAGAGUGCCAACGACCAGACAAAGCCAGUCAGCCACACCUCUCGCUUAUAUAUACCAACACCAUUGCCUACCCCCUCAGAUUCACGUGUACCGUUUGAAGUGGUAAAUUGGUCACUCGGUAGCUUUAAGCUUACAGUUUAUUGUUUUUUAAUAGAUUGCCAACGACCAGACAAAGCCAGUCAGCCACACCUCUCGCUUAUAUAUACCAACACCAUUGCCUACCCCCUCAGAUUCACAUCACUCGCUCUCACUAUAACCUCUGGAAAAAGGAGAAAGAAGAAUGACGAAG
rnacentral:lncRNA from 1 species